GGUGAAAAGCACCCCGGAAGGGGAGUGAAAUAGAACCUGAAACCGUGUGCUUACAAGUAGUCAGAGCCCGUUAAUGGGUGAUGGCGUGCCUUUUGUAGAAUGAACCGGCGAGUUACGAUUUGAUGCAAGGUUAAGCAGUAAAUGUGGAGCCGUAGCGAAAGCGAGUCUGAAUAGGGCGUUUAGUAUUUGGUCGUAGACCCGAAACCAGGUGAUCUACCCUUGGUCAGGUUGAAGUUCAGGUAACACUGAAUGGAGGACCGAACCGACUUACGUUGAAAAGUGAGCGGAUGAACUGAGGGUAGCGGAGAAAUUCCAAUCGAACCUGGAGAUAGCUGGUUCUCUCCGAAAUAGCUUUAGGGCUAGCCUCAAGUGAUGAUUAUUGGAGGUAGAGCACUGUUUGGACGAGGGGCCCCUCUCGGGUUACCGAAUUCAGACAAACUCCGAAUGCCAAUUAAUUUAACUUGGGAGUCAGAACAUGGGUGAUAAGGUCCGUGUUCGAAAGGGAAACAGCCCAGACCACCAGCUAAGGUCCCAAAAUAUAUGUUAAGUGGAAAAGGAUGUGGCGUUGCCCAGACAACUAGGAUGUUGGCUUAGAAGCAGCCAUCAUUUAAAGAGUGCGUAAUAGCUCACUAGUCGAGUGACACUGCGCCGAAAAUGUACCGGGGCUAAACAUAUUACCGAAGCUGUGGAUUGUCCUUUGGACAAUGGUAGGAGAGCGUUCUAAGGGCGUUGAAGCAUGAUCGUAAGGACAUGUGGAGCGCUUAGAAGUGAGAAUGCCGGUGUGAGUAGCGAAAGACGGGUGAGAAUCCCGUCCACCGAUUGACUAAGGUUUCCAGAGGAAGGCUCGUCCGCUCUGGGUUAGUCGGGUCCUAAGCUGAGGCCGACAGGCGUAGGCGAUGGAUAACAGGUUGAUAUUCCUGUACCACCUAUAAUCGUUUUAAUCGAUGGGGGGACGCAGUAGGAUAGGCGAAGCGUGCGAUUGGAUUGCACGUCUAAGCAGUAAGGCUGAGUAUUAGGCAAAUCCGGUACUCAUUAAGGCUGAGCUGUGAUGGGGAGAAGACAUUGUGUCUUCGAGUCGUUGAUUUCACACUGCCGAGAAAAGCCUCUAGAUAGAAAAUAGGUGCCCGUACCGCAAACCGACACAGGUAGUCAAGAUGAGAAUUCUAAGGUGAGCGAGCGAACUCUCGUUAAGGAACUCGGCAAAAUGACCCCGUAACUUCGGGAGAAGGGGUGCUCUUUAGGGUUAACGCCCAGAAGAGCCGCAGUGAAUAGGCCCAAGCGACUGUUUAUCAAAAACACAGGUCUCUGCUAAACCGUAAGGUGAUGUAUAGGGGCUGACGCCUGCCCGGUGCUGGAAGGUUAAGAGGAGUGGUUAGCUUCUGCGAAGCUACGAAUCGAAGCCCCAGUAAACGGCGGCCGUAACUAUAACGGUCCUAAGGUAGCGAAAUUCCUUGUCGGGUAAGUUCCGACCCGCACGAAAGGCGUAACGAUUUGGGCACUGUCUCAACGAGAGACUCGGUGAAAUCAUAGUACCUGUGAAGAUGCAGGUUACCCGCGACAGGACGGAAAGACCCCGUGGAGCUUUACUGUAGCCUGAUAUUGAAAUUCGGCACAGCUUGUACAGGAUAGGUAGGAGCCUUUGAAACGUGAGCGCUAGCUUACGUGGAGGCGCUGGUGGGAUACUACCCUAGCUGUGUUGGCUUUCUAACCCGCACCACUUAUCGUGGUGGGAGACAGUGUCAGGCGGGCAGUUUGACUGGGGCGGUCGCCUCCUAAAAGGUAACGGAGGCGCUCAAAGGUUCCCUCAG
rnacentral:rRNA from 1 species